rnacentral:rRNA from 1 species
UACGUAGGUGGCAAGCGUUGUCCGGAUUUAUUGGGUUUAAAGGGUGCGUAGGCGGUUCUGUAAGUCAGUGGUGAAAUACUCUAGCUUAACUAGAGGGGUGCCAAUGAUACUGCAGAACUUGAGUACAGAUGAGGUAGGCGGAAUUGACGGUGUAGCGGUGGAAUGCGUAGAGAUCCGGAGGAAGACCGGUGGCGAAGGCGGCCUGCUGGGCAGUUACUGACACUGAGGCGCGACGAGCGUGGGGAGCAAACAGG